rnacentral:rRNA from 1 species
GUCGGGAAUAUUGCGCAAUGGAGGAAACUCUGACGCAGUGACGCCGCGUGCAGGAAGAAGGUUUUCGGAUUGUAAACUGCUUUAGACAGGGAAGAACAAAGACAGUACCUGUAGAAUAAGCUCCGGCUAACUACGUGCCAGCAGCCGCGGUAAUACGUAGGGAGCAAGCGUUAUCCGGAUUUAUUGGGUGUAAAGGGUGCGUAGACGGUAAUGCAAGUUAGUUGUGAAAUCCCUCGGCUUAACUGAGGAACUGCAACUAAAACUACAUUUCUUGAGUAUUGGAGGGGAAAGUGGAAUUCCUAGUGUAGCGGUGAAAUGCGUAGAUAUUAGGAGGAACACCGGUGGCGAAGGCGACUUUCUGGACAAUCACUGACGUUGAGGCACGAAAGUGUGGGGAGCAAACAGGAUUAGAAACCCGGGUAGUCC